AGGAAGAACAUGACUUGGACUUUGGUGGUAAUGGCGGCAACCAAAUGCAAGCAGACAACGAUGUCGAUAUCGGUUAUGGUGAUGAUGAUGACGGCGGGGACGUUGGUAUGGAUGACGACUGAAAAAUUCAAAGUUCUUCAAGUCGCAGAAUUCUCUUUUCAAAUUCACCAUAGAUGAAAGGAAGUCCCUUCUUUUGUGAUUUUUACACUGUUAAAGACUAGAAAGUAGGGCUGGAAAUCGGUCAAUAACCGACAGUUUCGGUUGGUUAAAAAUGAAAUUCACUUUGCUGGCGGUUAACCACUUUAACCGACCGAGAAUGUCGGCUAAUUGCAGUUAAUCGACUGUUUGACCAAAUAUAAUCGACAAAUCGACUCUAGGAUAUCCUUUUACCGUCUUGAAGUUUUUAAUUGACCUUUUUC
rnacentral:lncRNA from 1 species